UACGUAGGCAGCAAGCGUUGUUCGGAAUUACUGGGCGUAAAGAGUGUGUAGGCGGUGCUCUAAGUUUGGUGUGAAAUCUCCCGGCUCAACUGGGAGGGUGCGCCGAAAACUGGAAUGCUUGAACGUGGGAGAGGAAAGCGGAAUUCCUGGUGUAGCGGUGAAAUGCGUUGAGAUCCGGAGGAACACCAAAGGCGAAGGCAGUGUCCUGGGGAGUACCUGACGCUCAGGUGCGAAAGCCAGGGGAGCGAACGGG
rnacentral:rRNA from 1 species